CGUUGUCCGGAAUUACUGGGUGUAAAGGGAGCGCAGGCGGGAAGACAAGUUGGAAGUGAAAUCUAUGGGCUUAACCCAUAAACUGCUUUCAAAACUGUUUUUCUUGAGUAGUGCAGAGGUAGGCGGAAUUCCCGGUGUAGCGGUGGAAUGCGUAGAUAUCGGGAGGAACACCAGUGGCGAAGGCGGCCUACUGGGCACCAACUGACGCUGAGGCUCGAAAGUGUGGGUAGCAAACAGGAUUAGAUACCCUGGUAGUCCACACCGUAAACGAUGAUUACUAGGUGUUGGACAGUGCCGCAGUUAACACAAUAAGUAAUCCACCUGGGGAGUACGACCGCAAGGUUGAAACUCAAAGGAAUUGACGGGGGCCCGCACAAGGGGUGGGGGGUGUGGUUUAAUUCGACGCAACGCGAAGAACCUUACCAAGUCUUGACAUCCAGGUGGUGCAUGGUUGUCGUCAGCUCGUGUCGUGAGAUGUUGGGUUAAGUCCCGCAACGAGCGCAACCCUUAUGGUCAGUUACGACUCUGGCCAGACUGCCGUUGACAAACGGA
rnacentral:rRNA from 1 species